AUUGAACGCUGGCGGCAGGCCUAACACAUGCAAGUCGAGCGGAUGAAGGGAGCUUGCUCCCUGAUUUAGCGGCGGACGGGUGAGUAAUGCCUAGGAAUCUGCCUGGUAGUGGGGGAUAACGUUCGGAAACGGACGCUAAUACCGCAUACGUCCUACGGGAGAAAGUGGGGGAUCUUCGGACCUCACGCUAUCAGAUGAGCCUAGGUCGGAUUAGCUAGUUGGUGAGGUAAAGGCUCACCAAGGCGACGAUCCGUAACUGGUCUGAGAGGAUGAUCAGUCACACUGGAACUGAGACACGGUCCAGACUCCUACGGGAGGCAGCAGUGGGGAAUAUUGGACAAUGGGCGCAAGCCUGAUCCAGCCAUGCCGCGUGUGUGAAGAAGGUCUUCGGAUUGUAAAGCACUUUAAGUUGGGAGGAAGGUCAGUAGCUUAAUACGUUGCUGAUUUGACGUUACCGACAGAAUAAGCACCGGCUAACUCUGUGCCAGCCGCCGCAGUAAGAC
rnacentral:rRNA from 1 species